rnacentral:rRNA from 1 species
CGAGCGGACUUGUAGGAGCUUGCUCCUGCAGGUUAGCGGCGGACGGGUGAGUAACACGUGGGCAACCUACCUAUAAGACUGGGAUAACUUCGGGAAACCGGAGCUAAUACCGGAUGACACAAAGGAACUCCUGUUCCUUUGUUGAAAGAUGGCUUCGGCUAUCACUUAUAGAUGGGCCCGCGGCGCAUUAGCUAGUUGGUGAGGUAACGGCUCACCAAGGCGACGAUGCGUAGCCGACCUGAGAGGGUGAUCGGCCACACUGGGACUGAGACACGGCCCAGACUCCUACGGGAGGCAGCAGUAGGGAAUCUUCCGCAAUGGACGAAAGUCUGACGGAGCAACGCCGCGUGAACGAUGAAGGCCUUCGGGUCGUAAAGUUCUGUUGUUAGGGAAGAACAAGUGCUAGUUAAAUAAGCUGGCACCUUGACGGUACCUAACCAGAAAGCCACGGCUAACUACGUGCCAGCAGCCGCGGUAAUACGUAGGUGGCAAGCGUUGUCCGGAAUUAUUGGGCGUAAAGCGCGCGCAGGCGGUUUCUUAAGUCUGAUGUGAAAGCCCCCGGCUCAACCGGGGAGGGUCAUUGGAAACUGGGAAACUUGAGUGCAGAAGAGGAAAGUGGAAUUCCAAGUGUAGCGGUGAAAUGCGUAGAGA